rnacentral:rRNA from 1 species
AGAGCGAACGCUGGCGGCAGGCCUAACACAUGCAAGUCGAACGAACUCUUCGGAGUUAGUGGCAGACGGGUGAGUAACGCGUGGGAACGUGCCCUUUGGUUCGGAACAACUCAGGGAAACUUGAGCUAAUACCGAAUGUGCCCUUCGGGGGAAAGAUUUAUCGCCAUUGGAGCGGCCCGCGUUGGAUUAGCUAGUUGGUGAGGUAAAGGCUCACCAAGGCUACGAUCCAUAGCUGGUCUGAGAGGAUGAUCAGCCACACUGGGACUGAGACACGGCCCAGACUCCUACGGGAGGCAGCAGUGGGGAAUCUUGCGCAAUGGGCGAAAGCCUGACGCAGCCAUGCCGCGUGAAUGAUGAAGGUCUUAGGAUUGUAAAAUUCUUUCAGCAGGGACGAUAAUGACGGUACCUGCAGAAGAACGCCCGGCUAACUUCGUGCCAGCAGCCGC